CCUACGGGGGGCAGCAGUGGGGAAUAUUGCGCAAUGGGCGAAAGCCUGACGCAGCGACGCCGCGUGAGGGAUGAAGGUCUUCGGAUCGUAAACCUCUGUCAGCAGGGAAGAACGGUCACUGUGCUAAUCAGCAGUGAAUUGACGGUACCUGCAAAGGAAGCACCGGCUAACUCCGUGCCAGCAGCCGCGGUAGUACGGAGGGUGCGAGCGUUAAUCGGAAUUACUGGGCGUAAAGCGGUCGUAGGCGGUAUGUCAAGUCAAGGGUGAAAUCCCCGGGCUCAACGUGGGAACUGCCUUUGAAACUGGCAAACUGGAGUGUGUGAGAGGAUAGUGGAAUUCCAGGUGUAGGAGUGAAAUGCGUAGAUAUCUGGAGGAACAUCAGUGGCGAAGGCGACUAUCUGGCACAUAACUGACGCUGAGGAGCGAAAGCGUGGGUAGCAAACAGGAUUAGAUACCCGUGUAGUC
rnacentral:rRNA from 1 species